AAUGGGUGUGCAUCCUAAAUGGAUUUUGACAUUUAUCUUCACACACAUGUCAUCGGAGAAACUCUGAGAUGGAGAGACCGUGAGAUUUCGAGAUCCCGGGAAACCUGAAGGCGUUUCUUUUUUCCUAUCAAACAAUGUUACCAAUUAAUUUCAAACGUUUCUCUUCUUCUGUAUAAAACAUCUUUGUAAAACCCUAGCCUUUCUCUCACCUUCUUCCUCAGUUUCUCUUUGUGAAAUCUAGGUUGUCGUAACAAACGCUCCAUCGCACAACUCUACAACCCCAGCUAGAAGUUCAGAUGCCGGUAUGAUUCAGUAUGUUUCGGGCCUUACAAUGCUCAAGGAAUUGUCGUUGAUUCAGCCAAAAUGUGAAUGUUCUUUUCCAUUUGGUUUUGUUCGUGAAGAUGUUUGAUUGGAAAAUAAAACGAGGAAAAUUUGAUCUUUCAUUUUUACUCUGAAAGAAGAACUGGGGGAAGCCUGAAUCUAUUAAGUUUCACCUCCCACUUCAAGAUGCAAGUUUACUAAAAAUUCUGAUGUUGGAGUUAAUAGAUUUUGAAAGAUAAGCCUGAAUUAUCAUACCGGGUCUCUAUAGUACGUAUAGGGCAUUUGGUCAAGAAAUUUACACUGAUUUCUUGGCUUUCUCGCAAUAUGCAGGUCAGGAUUCGUUCAACUUGAGCUUAAUAUUUAUCUGAAUAUUGAAAUGCUUGGUUAAUAUUUAGCCAACCAAAAAAUCCACUGGCAAUCAUUAGAAGGUCUACCUAUGGUCACUGGCAAUCAUUAGAAGGUUUACCUAUGGUCACUGGCAACAGUAGGGUGAAAAGUCUUAGAUUUUUUUUUCUGGGGGGAUUCGGUUAUUUAAAUUGUUAGCGAAGUAUAAUCUUUCAUGGUUUAUAGAUAAGUUUAUAAGGCUGUCAAAAGGAAUUUUUUUGUGACAGCAAUAUCAUCUUGGUAGAGCCAUGGAUAUACAGGGUCAUUUCUUUGGUUAUCUUCUUUCAUUCUCUACGCAAUGGAGGAGUUAAGCUGUGAUAUGAUUUGAUUACAAUCUAUCAUCCCUCAAAAGCAACAACAACAAAACAGUAGCGCUGCAGAGGUGUAGGUGUUAAGCAUCUUUGCUGAUGCUAGAAUAUACAAGAUUCACACCAUGAAUUUGGAUUUCAUUUGAAAUUUAGAUGGUUUUUAUGAUCGAUUGAUACUAUUUUGUGCAAUGUAGUUGGAGAAUUGAUUGAGGAACACAUGUUUGGAUGGAACUACUUCAACAUUAUUCAGUGUAAAAGUAAUUAAUUGGUAGAAGUACCACUAAGCUAUUGUCUUUUCUCUAAUGAUUCUAAUGAUUAGAGAAAGAAAGCAACUUCAUAUAACAUUAAAGGGUCAGUACAAUUCUAAUAAUUCUGCAA